rnacentral:rRNA from 1 species
AGUGAACGCUGGCGGCAGGCCUAACACAUGCAAGUCGAACGGCAGCACAGUAGGUGGUUGCUGGUACGGGUGGCGAACGGGGGAAGGGUUAGGUAGGCACCGGAAUUUACUUGUUCGUUGGGGCUAACAUAGGGUAAUUUAUGCCGAUACCGCAUUCGACCUACGGGUGAAAGCCGGGGAUCUUUGGACCUUGCGGGUUUGAAUGUGGCGAAGUCGGAUUAGCUAGUGGGCGGGGUAAAGGCCUACCAAGGCGACGAUCCGUAGCUGGUCUGAGAGGAUGAUCAGCCACACUGGGACUGAGACACGGCCCAGACUCUUACGGGAGGCAGCAGUGGGGAAUAUUGGACAAUGGGCGCAAGCCUGAUCCAGCCAUACCGCGUGGGUGAAGAAGGCCUUCGGGUUGUAAAGCGCUUUUGUUCGGAAAGAAAUGCAGCACUUUAAUACGGCGCGGUUAUGACGGUACCCGAAGAAUAAGCACCGGCUAACUUCGUG